UGGACUGUUUAAAUAAAUAAACAUUCCUUUAUUUUUUAUUAUUUGUUUAAGGCCCGGGCAAUUUAGGUUAUUACAGCUGCCCCUCUUUGCUCAUUGCUGUGUAAUAGGAAUCGAGCAAAGACUAUAUAAAGGACCAAAUUUGCCUAGUCUGGCCCAGUCUUCAAAUGGUCUUCAACCUAUCUGUAACUUCAGAGGUAUUGGACCAUAAAUGUGAUAGCUUCAAUUUGCUUCACUUGUAACUUCAGGAAGGCAAUAUCUGCUAUCUUCAACCUGCUCC
rnacentral:lncRNA from 1 species